AAUAAAAAGAAAUACCUUUCUGGUAAAUACUAAAGUGUCUAAGAGUCACCUUGCAGCACCCAACACCAUUAGAAGUUCCCUUCUGCGCUCAAAUCAGCAGAGGAAAAAGUCUUCCUCCCCUUUGUUCUCACUCUCAAAAUUGUCUCCGCUUAAAGACUUGCUGAGACCUUCGUAUGAAUUUUUUUAUAAAAAUAAUCCAAUCUU
rnacentral:misc_RNA from 1 species